rnacentral:rRNA from 1 species
GACGAACGCUGGCGGCGUGCCUAAUACAUGCAAGUCGAACGCACUCUCGUUUAGAUUGAAGGAGCUUGCUCCUGAUUGAUAAACAUUUGAGUGAGUGGCGGACGGGUGAGUAACACGUGGGUAACCUGCCCUAAAGUGGGGGAUAACAUUUGGAAACAGAUGCUAAUACCGCAUAAAACCUAAACACCGCAUGGUGUAGGGUUGAAAGAUGGUUUCGGCUAUCACUUUAGGAUGGACCCGCGGUGCAUUAGUUAGUUGGUGAGGUAAAGGCUCACCAAGACCGUGAUGCAUAGCCGACCUGAGAGGGUAAUCGGCCACACUGGGACUGAGACACGGCCCAGACUCCUACGGGAGGCAGCAGUAGGGAAUCUACCACAAUAGGACGAAAGUCUGAUGGAGCAACGCCGCGUGAGUGAAGAAGGUUUCGG